rnacentral:rRNA from 1 species
CGUGCCAGCAGCCGCGGUAAUACGGAGGGGGUUAGCGUUGUUCGGAAUUACUGGGCGUAAAGCGCGCGUAGGCGGAUUAGAAAGUUGGGGGUGAAAUCCCGGGGCUCAACCUCGGAACUGCCUCCAAAACUGCUAGUCUAGAGUUCGAGAGAGGUGAGUGGAAUUCCGAGUGUAGAGGUGAAAUUCGUAGAUAUUCGGAGGAACACCAGUGGCGAAGGCGGCUCACUGGCUCGAUACUGACGCUGAGGUGCGAAAGUGUGGGGAGCAAACAGGAUUAGAUACCCUGGUAGUCCACACCGUAAACGAUGAAUGCCAGUCGUCGGGUAGUAUACUAUUCGGUGACACACCUAACGGAUUAAGCAUUCCGCCUGGGGAGUACGGUCGCAAGAUUAAAACUCAAAUGAAUUGACGGGG